GAAAUGCGAUAAGUAGUGUGAAUUGCAGAAUUCAGUGAAUCAUCGAAUCUUUGAACGCACAUUGCGCCCUUUGGUAUUCCUUAGGGCAUGCCUGUUCGAGCGUCAUCUAAACCUUCAAGCCCUGCUUGGUGUUGGGUGCCUGUCCCGCCUCCGCGCGCGGACUCACCUCAAAUCCAUUGGCGGCCCCCGCGUCGGCCACGAGCGUAGCAGAAACGCGAACUCGUGAGCCCGUCCGGGCGGCUCCCAGAAGCUACACCCACCCAGUUUGACCUCGGAUCAGGUAGGGAUACCCGCUGAACUUAAGC
rnacentral:misc_RNA from 1 species